AGCAGUCGCCGCGGUAAUACGUAGGGUGCAAGCGUUAAUCGGAAUUACUGGGCGUAAAGCGUGCGCAGGCGGUUAUAUAAGACAGAUGUGAAAUCCCCGGGCUCAACCUGGGAACUGCAUUUGUGACUGUAUAGCUAGAGUACGGCAGAGGGGGAUGGAAUUCCGCGUGUAGCAGUGAAAUGCGUAGAUAUGCGGAGGAACACCGAUGGCGAAGGCAAUCCCCUGGGCCUGCACUGACGCUCAUGCACGAAAGCGUGGGGAGCAAACAGGAUUAGAUACCCGUGUAGCCUGUCUCUUAUACAC
rnacentral:rRNA from 1 species